rnacentral:rRNA from 1 species
UACGUAGGGUGCAAGCGUUGUCCGGAAUUAUUGGGCGUAAAGAGCUCGUAGGCGGUCUGUCGCGUCGGCUGUGAAAACCCGAGGCUCAACCUCGGGCCUGCAGUCGAUACGGGCAAACUAGAGUACUGCAGGGGAGACUGGAAUUCCUGGUGUAGCGGUGAAAUGCGCAGAUAUCGGGAAGAACACCCGUGGCGAAGGCGGCUCUCUGGGACGGUACUGACGCUGAGACGCGAAAGCGUGGGGAGCGAACAGG